AGUUUGAUCCUGGCUCAGGACGAACGCUGGCGGCGUGCUUAACACAUGCAAGUCGAGCGAUGAAACUUCUUCGGAGGUGGAUUAGCGGCGGACGGGUGAGUAACACGUGGGUAACCUGCCUCAUAGAGGGGAAUAGCCUUUCGAAAGGAAGAUUAAUACCGCAUAAGAUUGUAAUAUCGCAUGAUAUAGCAAUUAAAGGAGCAAUCCGCUAUGAGAUGGACCCGCGUCGCAUUAGCUAGUUGGUGAGGUAACGGCUCACCAAGGCGACGAUGCGUAGCCGACCUGAGAGGGUGAUCGGCCACAUUGGGACUGAGACACGGCCCAGACUCCUACGGGAGGCAGCAGUGGGGAAUAUUGCACAAUGGGGGAAACCCUGAUGCAGCAACACCGCGUGUGCGAUGAAGGCCUUCGGGUUGUAAAGCACUUUUUGGAGGGAAUAGGAAGGAAGGUACCUCCAGAAUAAGUCUCGGCUAACUACGUGCCAGCAGCCGCGGUAACACGUAGGAGGCAAACGUUAUCCGGAUUCACUGGGCGUAAAGCGCGUGUAGGUGGUUCUGUAAGUAGGGCGUGAAAGCUCCCGGCUCAACUGGGAGAGGCCGUACUAAACUGCAGAGCUAGAGGAUGGUAGAGGGAGGUGGAAUUCCAGGUGUAGUGGUGAAAUGCGCAGAUAUCUGGAGGAACACCAGUGGCGAAGGCGGCCUCCUGGACCAUUCCUGACACUCAGACGCGAAAGCUAGGGUAGCAAACGAAAGUAGAGACUCCGGUAGUCCUAGCCCUAAACGAUGCACAUGUAGGAGUCGGCGGUUUAAUCACCCGUCGGUGUUCCAAGCUAACGGCGAUAAGUUUGCCCGCCGAGGGAUUACGGCCGCAAGGGCUAAAACUCAAAGGGAAUUGACGGGUCCCCGCACAAGCAGCGGAGCGUGUGGUUUAAUUCGAUGCUCCGCGAAGAACCUUACCUGGGUUUGACAUAACAGUGGUAGAGAAGUGAAAACGGAUCGACCCUUCGGGGAGCUGUUACAGGUGUUGCAUGCCUGUCGUCAGCUCGUGUCGUGAGAUGUUCGGUUAAGUCCGCUAACGAGCGCAACCCGCGCUGUGUGUUACAAGUGUCACACAGUACCGCCGGUAUUAAGUCGGAGGAAGGUGCGGAUGACGUCAAGUCAGCAUGACCUUUAUAUCCAGGGCUACACACACGCUACAAUGGUCAGAACAAUAGGUUGCCAAGCCGCAAGGCGGAGCCAAUCCUCCAAAUCUGGCCUCAGUUCAGAUUGCAGGCUGCAACUCGCCUGCAUGAAGUCGGAGUUGCUAGUAACCGCAGGUCAGCAUACUGCGGUGAAUACGUUCCCGGGGAUUGCACACACCGCCCGUCAAG
rnacentral:rRNA from 1 species